rnacentral:rRNA from 1 species
UACGGAGGGUGCAAGCGUUAUCCGGAUUUACUGGGUUUAAAGGGUGCGUAGGUGGGUUGGUGAGUCAGUGGUGAAAUACUUUCGCUUAACGAAGGAACUGCCAUUGAUACUACCAGCCUCGAAUACAGUGGAGGUGGGCGGAAUGCGUCAUGUAGCGGUGAAAUGCUUAGAUAUGACGCAGAACACCAAUUGCGAAGGCAGCUUGCUACGCUGUUAUUGACACUGAGGCACGAAAGCGUGGGGAUCAAACAGG